rnacentral:rRNA from 1 species
GAUGAACGCUGGCGGCGUGCCUAAUACAUGCAAGUCGAGCGAACGGACGAGGAGCUUGCUUCUCUGAUGUUAGCGGCGGACGGGUGAGUAACACGUGGAUAACCUACCUAUAAGACUGGGAUAACUUCGGGAAACCGUAGCUAAUACCGGAUAAUAUUUUGAACCGCAUGGUUCAAAAGUGAAAGACGGUCUUGCUGUCACUUAUAGAUGGAUCCGCGCUGCAUUAGCUAGUUGGUAAGGUAACGGCUUACCAAGGCAACGAUGCAUAGCCGACCUGAGAGGGUGAUCGGCCACACUGGAACUGAGACACGGUCCAGACUCCUACGGGAGGCAGCAGUAGGGAAUCUUCCGCAAUGGGCGAAAGCCUGACGGAGCAACGCCGCGUGAGCGAUGAAGGUCUUCGGAUCGUAAAACUCUGUUAUUAGGGAAGAACAUAUGUGUAAGUAACUGUGCACAUCUUGACGGUACCUAAUCAGAAAGCCACGGCUAACUACGUG